rnacentral:rRNA from 1 species
GAGCGGAUGACAGGAGCUUGCUCCUUGAUUCAGCGGCGGACGGGUGAGUAAUACCUAGGAAUCUGCCUGGUAGUGGGGGACAACGUUUCGAAAGGAACGCUAAUACCGCAUACGUCCUACGGGAGAAAGCAGGGGACCUUCGGGCCUUGCGCUAUCAGAUGAGCCUAGGUCGGAUUAGCUAGUUGGUGGGGUAAUGGCUCACCAAGGCGACGAUCCGUAACUGGUCUGAGAGGAUGAUCAGUCACACUGGAACUGAGACACGGUCCAGACUCCUACGGGAGGCAGCAGUGGGGAAUAUUGGACAAUGGGCGAAAGCCUGAUCCAGCCAUGCCGCGUGUGUGAAGAAGGUCUUCGGAUUGUAAAGCACUUUAAGUUGGGAGGAAGGGCAGUAAGUUAUGCCCUGCUGUUUUGACGUUACCGACAGAAUAAGCACCGGCUAACUCUGUG